rnacentral:rRNA from 1 species
GCUGAACGCUUUCUUCUUUCCUAAUACAUGCAAGUCGAGCGAACAGACGAGGAGCUUGCUCCUCUGACGUUAGCGGCGGACGGGUGAGUAACACGUGGAUAACCUACCUAUAAGACUGGGAUAACUUCGGGAAACCGGAGCUAAUACCGGAUAAUAUAUUGAACCGCAUGGUUCAAUAGUGAAAGACGGUUUUGCUGUCACUUAUAGAUGGAUCCGCGCCGCAUUAGCUAGUUGGUAAGGUAACGGCUUACCAAGGCAACGAUGCGUAGCCGACCUGAGGGGGUGAUCGGCCACACUGGAACUGAGACACGGUCCAGACUCCUACGGGAGGCAGCAGUAGGGAAUCUUCCGCAAUGGGCGAAAGCCUGACGGAGCAACGCCGCGUGAGUGAUGAAGGUCUUCGGAUCGUAAAACUCUGUUAUUAGGGAAGAACAAAUGUGUAAGUAACUAUGCACGUCUUGACGGUACCUAAUCAGAAAGCCACGGCUAACUACGUG